UACGGGGGGGGGCAAGCGUUGUUCGGAAUUACUGGGCGUAAAGGGCUCGUAGGCGGCCAACUAAGUCAGACGUGAAAUCCCUCGGCUUAACCGGGGAACUGCGUCUGAUACUGGAUGGCUUGAGUUUGGGAGAGGGAUGCGGAAUUCCAGGUGUAGCGGUGAAAUGCGUAGAUAUCUGGAGGAACACCGGUGGCGGAAGGCGGCCUGCUGGGCAGUUUAGCUGACACUGAGGCGCGACAGCGUGGGGAGCAAACAGG
rnacentral:rRNA from 1 species